rnacentral:lncRNA from 1 species
GUGGGUGGCAGGCGCGGAGAAGCUGCUGCAGGUGGUGGGCGAGCGGCCCGGGCUGGGGCGACGCUCCGAGGGCGGGAGAGGGUCUGACUGCGGGCUCACCUGCUCUUGCGGGAAGGAAGUAGUACCUGGGGAGCGAGGGAUCGAGCUCGGAACCUUGCUCUUGCGAGGCAGGCACCGGAACCACUGAGCUAAAUCCCCAACCCGACAGUGAAUAAGUUUGAAUGAAGACUUAAGGAACCCCAUCAACAGGCACUCCCUGUCAUCUGUGAGGUUUAGUGCCGAUGAGGACCAAAAUACAUGUAAAAAGAACUGACAAUCACUACAUUUCUAUGAAGAGCAUAAAGGAAAAUUAAAGGAUAGAACUAAAUUAAGAGAAGCUGCUUGGCUGGAGCGGGCAGGGAAGACCCCUCUACCCCUCUACCCCCAGGAGCCGAGUUCAGAACCCAGGCUUGUGCAGAGCUGGCCAAGAGGAGAAGAGCAGUGAAGGAGGGAACGAAAGCAUCUCGGAGCAGGAACUUCCCAGCAGGACCCGGGAAUAGAGAGGAUGCUGCCCAGGUGGAGUCCGGGAUCUGGCAAGAGCCGCAACUCCAAGGAUUUGAAAUCUUUUUGUCCGUGUGUGCAAACCUGUCUUUGUAUUUUAUUCCUUUAAAAAUUGCAGAAAGAUAUUUAAAUAAACAGGGCCC